CCAGCCAUGCCGCGUGAGUGACGAAGGUCUUCGGAUUGUAAAGCUCUUUUGGCGGGGACGAUAAUGACGGUACCCGCAGAAUAAGCCCCGGCUAACUUCGUGCCAGCAGCCGCGGUAAUACGAAGGGGGCUAGCGUUGUUCGGAAUUACUGGGCGUAAAGCGCACGUAGGCGGAUUGCUAAGUCAGGGGUGAAAUCCCGGGGCUCAACCUCGGAACUGCCUUUGAUACUGACAGUCUUGAGUCCGGAAGAGGUGAGUGGAAUUCCUAGUGUAGAGGUGAAAUUCGUAGAUAUUAGGAAGAACACCAGUGGCGAAGGCGGCUCACUGGUCCGGUACUGACGCUGAGGUGCGAAASGUGGGGAGCAAACAGGAUUAGAUACCCUGGUAGUCCACGCCGUAAACUAUGGAUGCUAGCCGUCGGCAAGCUUGCUUGUCGGUGGCGCASUAACGCUUUAAGCAUCCCGCCUGGGGAGUACGGCCGCAAGUUAAAACUCAAAGGAAUUGACGGGGGCCCGCACAAGCGGUGGAGCAUGUGGUUUAAUUCGACGCAACGCAAGAACCUUACCAGCUC
rnacentral:rRNA from 1 species